AUGUGCAGUAUGAUUCUUCUAAAGCUCUUUUCCUCACUGUCACUCGCAUUCUCUUGUGGGGGUCUUCCAAUGAGAGAUCCUGGAGCUUCAGAGGCUCCUGGCCCAGCGUGGGUGUCUGCAGGGUCCCAGGGAGCAGGAGGUGUUCCAGCACUGGGUGGACCAGGCCAAAACAGCACAACUGGAGAAACAGCUACAGCAGAUCGGGAUAAAACCAGCAGAACUAAAGCUAAUGUAAGCUGUGUUUCCCACCAUCCCUCAGAAGAACACACAGAAAACAGAAAAAUAAAUCCUGACUCUUCUCUGUCCUUACCAAGGUUGUGGAACGAACUUCCACUGGGUGUCAGAACAGAACUGAAAGUCACUCCUGGUCUUAAAACGACGACUGAAGACUCAUCUUUUCAAAUACUUCCUAAACUUAUCUUAAAAAUAAAAAUCUCACCUACAGUUCUAAACGUUAUCAAAGCUCAAAGGUUGGUGUAUCCCUUGAUUCUAGUCUCUCCAACUCACUCUGGAUGUCCUAAAGUAAAAAAAGGACACACUUUUGUAAGUCGCUCUGGAUCAGGCCGCCUGCUAAAUACCUUAAAUGUAAAUAAUGAAUCUUAUAAUGAAAGUAUUUAAAUAUCUACAUUAAAAGCUGAAACUCUCA
rnacentral:lncRNA from 1 species